rnacentral:rRNA from 1 species
AUUGAACGCUGGCGGCAGGCCUAACACAUGCAAGUCGAACGGUAACAGGAAGAAUCUUGCUUCUUUGCUGACGAGUGGCGGACGGGUGAGUAAUGUCUGGGAAACUGCCUGAUGGAGGGGGAUAACUACUGGAAACGGUAGCUAAUACCGCAUAACGUCGCAAGACCAAAGAGGGGGACCUUCGGGCCUCUUGCCAUCGGCUGUGCCCAGAUGGGAUUAGCGAGUAGGUGGGGUAACGGCUCACCUAGGCGACGAUCCCUAGCUGGUCUGAGAGGAUGACCAGCCACACUGGAGCUGAGACACGGUCCAGACUCCUACGGGAGGCAGCAGUGGGGAAUAUUGCACAAUGGGCGCAAGCCUGAUGCAGCCAUGCCGCGUGUAUGAAGAAGGCCUUCGGGUUGUAAAGUACUUUCAGCGGGGAGGAAGGGAGUAAAGUUAAUACCUUGGCUCAUUGACGUUACCCGCAGAAGAAGCACCGGCUAACUACGUG